rnacentral:rRNA from 1 species
GUGACUGGAGUUCAGACGUGUGCUCUUCCGAUCUCUCCACCCAGACUCAUCCAUCUUACCUUUGAUAGAGAGUUUCUGUUGGUGCUGAUAUUAGGCGCCCGUACCGUAAACCGACACAGGUGGGUGAGGAGAGUAUCCUAAGGCCAGCGAGAGAACUAUUGUUAAGGAACUCGGCAAAAUGACCCCGUAACUUAGGGAGAAGGGGUGCCUGUCUAUGACAGGCCGCAGAGAAUAGGCCCAAGCGACUGUUUACCAAAAACACAGGUUUCUGCUAAGUCGCAAGACGAUGUAUAGGAGCUGACGCCUGCCCGGUGCUGGAAGGUUAAGGGGAUCUGUUAGAGCAAUCGAAGCAGUGAACUUAAGCCCCAGUAAACGGCGGCCGUAACAAUAACGGUCCUAAGGUAGCGAAAUUCCUUGUCGGGUAAGUUCCGACCCGCACGAAAGGCGUAACGAUUUGGGCACUGUCUCAACAAUAGACUCGGUGAAAUUGUAAUCCCGGUGAAGAUGCCGGGUACCUGCGACAGGACGGAAAGACCCCAUGGAGCUUUACUGUAGCUUGACGUUGGGUCUUGGUACUACAUGUACAGGAUAGGUGGGAGACUAUGAAGCAUGGACGCCAGUCUGUGUGGAGUCAUCCUUGGGAUACCACCCUUGUAGUACUGGGAUCCUAACCAUAGGCCUUGAAUCAGGUCUUGGAACACCGUCAGGUGGGCAGUUUGACUGGGGCGGUCGCCUCCUAAAAAGUAACGGAGGCGCUCAAAGGUUUCCUCAGCACGGUCGGAAAUCGUGCGAAGAGUGUAAAGGCAAAAGGAAGCUUGAUUGCAAGACAUACAGGUCGAGCAAGGACGAAAGUCGGACUUAGUGAUCCGGUGGUACCGCAUGGAAGGGCCAUCGCUCAACGGAUAAAAGCUACCCUGGGGAUAACAGGCUUAUCUCCCCCAAGAGUCCACAUCGACGGGGAGGUUUGGCACCUCGAUGUCGGCUCAUCACAUCCUGGGGCUGUAGUAGGUCCCAAGGGUUGGGCUGUUCGCCCAUUAAAGUGGUACGCGAGCUGGGUUCAGAACUUCGUGAGACAGUUCGGUCCCUAUCCGUCGCAGGCGUAGGAAAUUUGAGAAGACCUGUCCUUAGUACGAGAGGACCGGGAUGGACGUACCUCUGGUGUACCAGUUGUUCUGCCAAGGGCAUGGCUGGGUAGCUAUGUACGGAAUGGAUAAGCGCUGAAAGCAUCUAAGCGCGAAGCCAACUUCAAGAUAAGAUUUCCCACCGUAAGGGUAAGACCCCAGGAAGACUACCUGGUUGAUAGGUCGAAGGUGUAAGUGCAGUAAUGUAUUUAGCUUAUCGAUACUAAUAGGUCGAGGACUUGACC